rnacentral:sRNA from 1 species
GGUCCCAUGGGAUUAUUGUAGUCCCAUGGGAUAUUUGUUGUCCCAUGGGACUAUAAUUAUCCCAUGGGAUU